CCGCCUUAUGAGUAUAAGUCACCACCACCGCCUUCUCCUUCUCCACCACCGCCUUAUGUGUAUAAAUCUCCACCACCACCACCUAAACAUGAGGAGAAGCCUUAUGAAUACAAGUCUCCACCACCACCACCACCAAAGGAGAAGCCUUAUGAGUACAAGUCUCCACCCCCACCAUCACCUUCUCCUCCACCUCCUUAUGAGUACAAAUCUCCACCACCUCCAUCACCUUCUCCACCACCUCCUUAUGUGUAUAAGUCUCCACCACCUCCACCAAAGCAUGAGGAGAAGCCUUAUGAAUACAAGUCUCCACCACCACCACCGAAGGAGAAGCCUUAUGAAUACAAGUCUCCACCACCACCACCGAAGGAGAAGCCUUAUGAAUACAAGUCUCCACCACCACCACCGAAAGAGAAGCCUUAUGAAUACAAGUCUCCACCACCUCCAUCACCUUCUCCACCACCUCCUUAUGUGUAUAAGUCUCCUCCACCUCCACCAAAGCAUGAGGAGAAGCCUUAUGAAUACAAGUCUCCACCACCACCACCGAAGGAGAAGCCUUAUGAAUACAAGUCUCCACCACCACCACCUCCAUCUCCAUCACCACCUCCUCCAUACUACUAUAAAUCUCCACCACCUCCAUCACCAUCACCACCACCUCCAUACUACUACAAGUCCCCACCACCACCACCAAAGCAUGAAGAACAACCACCAUAUUACUACAAGUCACCUCCUCCUCCAUCUCCAUCACCACCUCCUCCAUACUACUACAAGUCCCCACCACCUCCUUCACCAUCACCACCACCUCCAUACUACUACAAGUCUCCACCACCACCAAAACACGUAGAGCAACCCCCAUACUACUACAAGUCUCCUCCACCUCCAUCACCCUCACCACCACCACCUUACUACUAUAAAUCUCCACCACCACCUUCACCAUCUCCACCACCUCCUUACUACUACAAGUCCCCACCACCUCCAUCUCCAUCACCACCUCCUCCAUACUACUACAAAUCUCCACCACCACCACCAAAGCAUGAAGAACAACCCCCAUACUACUACAAGUCUCCACCACCACCUUCACCAUCUCCUCCACCACCUUACUACUACAAAUCUCCACCACCACCCCCACAUUACGUCUCACCACCAUACUACUACAAAUCUCCACCACCACCAGUGAAGUCUCCUCCCUACUACUACCAUUCUCCUCCACCACCAACUCCUUACUACCCCCACCCCCACCCUCACCCCCACCCCCACCCACAUCCGCUCAUAGUCAGGGUGGUCGGAAAAGUUUACUGCUACAGAUGCUAUGACUCAAGCUACCCAGAGAAAUCACACGGCAAGAAACAUCUCGAAGGUAAAUUAAUUCAUACAUUAAUGCAUUUAUUAAUUGAUUUAUUUUCAAUUUCGUAUGUUUUAUUUAUUUCUUAGUUUCAAAUUUUUGUGGAACUUUGUCACGUGAUUUAGAGGUUAAAAUAAGAUGUUUAUGAAUAUUUUAAUUCAAAUAGACGUAAACAUAAUAAUUAAAGGAAUCUGAAGUUAUUCUUCUGGAAGUUUAAAAAAAAUUAAAAAAUAGAUUAUAAAAAUAAACAAAGUCUGUUUUUGUUUCUUAUAUGUUUGAAAAUAAAUUAUGACUCUAUUGUCUGUCUAUGUAAUAUUUUUAUAUAAUUUAAUAUUCAAUUCAUAAUAAUUUAAUGAUAAAAACUAUUGUUAUAAAUUACUCUAAAAUUAUAGCUUUCUUUAUUAAGGGCUGCACCAUAUAUGGAUGCACAAGUCAACAUAAGUAGUGAACACAUAAGUCAUGUCUAUGGAAAAACUGUUUUUUUUUUUUUUGAUUAAAUUAAUUCAUGGAAAGACAAAAUUAGUUAUAAAAUAGUUGAUGUCUAAAUAGAAAAAAGAUAUUUUGAUUGACUUUUUAGCAAAAAAGAAACUAAAUUUUCAAUUAUUGCACAUGGAGCAGGUGCUACUGUGGAAGUGACUUGCAAGGAGGGUGAAAAGGAAAUCACUGUCUAUGGAAAGACCAAAAACAACGGCAAAUUUGCUGUCACUGUUGAUGGGUUUGAUUAUGGCAAAUACGGAGCCAAGGCAUGCAUUGCCAAGCUUCAUGCCCCACCCAAGGGUUCAUCAUGCAACAUACCCAUGAGUGUACAUGAUGGCAUCAAGGGUGCUGUGCUCAAGGUCAAGUCAGAGGACAAUUAUGAGGUUGUGCUAAGAGCUAAGCCAUUUGGUUAUGGUUCAAAGAAACCUUACAAGAAGUGUGAAAAGUACACUCCUAAGCCUCCGACUCAUCCGUACAAGCCACCACCGUACUACUAUAAGUCUCCACCUCCUCCGGCUCCCACUUACGUUUACAAGUCACCACCUCCACCAUCACCAACUUAUGUUUACAAGUCACCUCCACCUCCUGUGUACUACUACAAGUCUCCACCACCACCAAAGCAUGUGGAACAACCUCCAUACUACUAUAAGUCUCCACCUCCACCGGCUCCCACUUAUGUUUACAAGUCACCACCUCCACCAUCGCCGACUUAUGUUUACAAGUCACCUCCACCACCUGUGUACUACUACAAAUCACCACCACCACCCACUUAUGUCUACAAGUCUCCACCACCACCAAAGCAUGUAGAGCAGCCCCCGUACUACUACAAAUCUCCUCCACCACCAUCGCCAUCUCCUCCUCCACCAUACUAUUACAAGUCCCCACCACCACCAGUUCACUCUCCACCACCACCAUACUACUACAAGUCCCCACCACCACCAAAACAUGUGGAGCAACCUCCAUACUACUACAAAUCUCCUCCUCCACCAUCGCCAUCUCCUCCACCACCAUACUACUACAAAUCCCCACCACCACCAAAACAUGUAGAGGAGCCCCCAUACUACUACAAAUCUCCUCCACCACCAUCACCAUCUCCUCCUCCACCAUACUACUACAAGUCCCCACCACCACCAAAACAUGUGGAGCAACCUCCAUACUACUACAAAUCACCCCCACCACCAUCGCCAUCUCCUCCUCCACCAUACUACUACAAGUCCCCACCACCACCGAAGCAUGUAGAGGAGCCCCCAUACUACUACAAGUCUCCCCCACCACCAUCGCCAUCUCCUCCUCCACCAUACUAUUACAAAUCUCCUCCACCACCAUCACCAUCUCCUCCUCCACCAUACUACUACAAGUCCCCACCACCACCGAAACAUGUAGAGGAGCCCCCAUACAUCUACAAAUCUCCUCCACCACCAUCGCCAUCUCCUCCUCCACCAUACUACUACAAGUCCCCACCACCCCCGAAGCAUGUAGAGGAGCCCCCAUACUACUACAAGUCUCCCCCACCACCAUCGCCAUCUCCUCCUCCACCAUACUAUUACAAAUCUCCUCCACCACCAUCGCCAUCUCCUCCUCCACCAUACUACUACAAGUCCCCACCACCACCGAAACAUGUAGAGGAGCCCCCAUACAUCUACAAAUCUCCUCCACCACCAUCGCCAUCUCCUCCACCACCAUACUAUUACAAGUCCCCACCACCACCAGCCCAUUCCCCACCACCACCAUACUACUACAAGUCUCCACCACCACCAGUCCACUCCCCACCCCCACCAUACUAUUACAAGUCUCCACCACCACCUUCUCCUUCACCACCUCCACCAUACUAUUACAAGUCCCCACCACCACCAUCACCAUCUCCUCCUCCACCAUAUUAUUACAAGUCCCCACCACCACCAGUCCACUCUCCACCACCACCAUACUAUUACAAAUCCCCUCCUCCACCAUCGCCAUCUCCUCCUCCACCAUACUACUACAAAUCCCCACCACCACCAGUCCACUCUCCACCCCCACCAUACUACUACAAAUCCCCACCACCACCAUCUCCUUCACCACCUCCACCAUACUACUACAAAUCACCCCCACCUCCAGUGAAGGCUCCAGCACCUACCUACCAUUACAACUCCCCUCCUCCACCAUCACCAUCUCCUCCUCCCCCAUACUACUACAAAUCUCCCCCACCACCAGUCCACUCUCCCCCACCACCAUACUACUACAAAUCUCCACCUCCUCCAUCUCCCUCACCACCUCCUCCAUACUACUACCACUCACCUCCCCCACCUGUGAAAUCACCUCCACCUCCAGUCUACAUCUACGCUUCUCCUCCACCACCAACACCCUA
rnacentral:lncRNA from 1 species